UCACAAAUUAUUAGCUUGUUUUGACAGGAACCUCCAAAAUAAUCCUCAGCUUUUCACUUGCAGACAUAGACUGUUGUCCACUAGGUGGUGCCAGUGUUCCUGUAAACGAUCAUACUGUUGAGGAUACAUUAUUUACUGAUAAUUGUAGACAAUAAUUGCAGCAACACAAGACGAGUUUUAUUCAUGUACUUUUGAUUUAAAACAGCAGACAUCAUUUGUUUAUGUGAAAUAUUUUUACUGUUUAAGUGAGUUGUUUUCUUCUCACAGGGACACGGGUAGCACCAUCAUUGUGGCAUAUUUUGUCUACACCAACGGGACUGCUCUGACCUCUGUUCAAGUGGACACGAUGCUGUCUGAUCCUGAACAUUUUCUUGUGCUGGGACAGCUCGGCCUCAAGAACAUUGGGAAGGCUCCUGUGAAAGAACCCGACACGGACCCUGUGAAGUACAUCUUGCUGGGGAUAGUGGGAGGCCUCGUCAUCGUACUGGGUGUCCUCAUCACUUCCCUAAUGUGCACUCGCAGAACCUACGGGAGGAAACUGAAGGCAGCUAAAGCCAUGAACUCUGCAUCCAUGAUGACUUCUGACAACCAGAAAGGUGGCGCUGUAGUGCCUGGAACCAACAAAUACACCAUGGAGGGGUGAGGAGACAACAGAUAAAUGAAUGAAUCAAUUAUAUGAAAUAAAACAUAUCUCUGACUGUGUAUAUCAUUAUUCGCUCAAAGGGCUAAUCCAGUUCUCAACCUCAACAUCGACACGGCCAUGAUCCUGGGAUUGGACGAGGAGAGCUCAGAUGUGGACAAAGUCAGGUAAAUAAUUAGUCUCUGUGACUCUCUCCAUCAUCUGUUGAUAGCAAUGAUUCA
rnacentral:lncRNA from 1 species